rnacentral:rRNA from 1 species
AGCAGCCGCGGUAAUUCCAGCUCCAAUAGCGUAUAUUAAAGUUGUUGCAGUUAAAAAGCUCGUAGUUGAAUUUCGGGAUCAGUGGGUCGGUCGUGCCACUGGUAUGCACUGGCCCUACUGGUUCCUCCUUCUUGAAGAACUGUAAUGCCAUUAAUUUGGUGUUGCAGGGAAACAGGACUGUUACUUUGAAAAAAUUAGAGUGUUUAAAGCAGGCAAUCGCUUGAAUACAUUAGCAUGGAAUAAUGAAAUAGGACGAUCGAUCCUAUUCUGUUGGUUUCUAGGAUUGACGUAAUGAUUAAUAGGGAUAGUUGGGGGCAUUAGUAUUCAAUUGUCAGAGGUGAAAUUCUUGGAUUUAUUGAAGACUAACUACUGCGAAAGCAUUUGCCAAGGAUGUUUUCAUUAAUCAAGAACGAAAGUUAGGGGAUCGAAGACGAUCAGAUACCGUCGUAGUCUUAACCAUAAACUAUGCCGACUAGGGAUCGGAUGAUGUUAAUUUUUAAUGA